UCAAUUGUUACAUCACAAAAAGCUUUGACACUUAUAAAUUGUACACUUAUUAUCAUUUUUUUUUUCACUCAAAUUUCGACCGACAUUCCACCGCUCUUGAAUUAUUUUUAAAAUUAAUCUUUAAUGUAGAUCGAUUUUGAGCUGGGGGACGGUGAUUCGAAAUAUUAACAAGAAAUCCUCUCCACUAUGAAUCAAAAAAUUAAAUAAAGUUUUCAGAAUUACAACAAUGAAUAAAAGUUAUUAUAACAAUCCAAGAUUCAUACGGAUCUAACAAAGAAAUCAAAUUCAUACUGACAUUUAUUGUUUUAUUGUAAAGACAUAUAGAAAAAUACUAAAUUGGUUUAUGCAAUUGAAUGAAAAGUGAGCCGACGAAUAUUGUGGAGGCAAUUCAAAAACUUUCGGCAAUUACCAGUUCUUAGAAUGCACAGAUAAUUAUCAUCGUACUCCGGCGUUGAAUACGGCGUACGUCUCAUCAUGAGAAAACGUGGCAUCCAGAUCAAGAAUACUUGCCGCACCCAAGGAGACAUAUUAUGCGUCGACGGCGAGCUGCGUAUAAAUCAAGUUUUCAAUUAAGUGUGAUCCGUGGGAUUGCUAGCGACGUCGGUGGAAUGAUUUCAGCAAGCAACAAAAAGAAUACUGUCAACGACAGAAGAAUGGACGAGCACAAUGAAACCUGAAAUUAAGGCAGUAAAAUGUAUGAAAUUCUGUAAAAGUUUUUUUGUGGGAUAAUACUUUUGGGUAAUUAACACAAUAAUAGAUAUAAAUCAAGAAAUAAGUUUGGUAAACAA